rnacentral:rRNA from 1 species
UACAGAGGUCUCAAGCGUUGUUCGGAUUCAUUGGGCGUAAAGGGUGCGUAGGUGGCGCGCUAAGUCAGGUGUGAAAUUUCGGAGCUUAACUCCGAAACUGCAUUUGAUACUGGCGUGCUUGAGGACUGGAGAGGAGACUGGAAUUCAUGGUGUAGCGGUGAAAUGCGUAGAUAUCGUAAGGAAGACCAGUGGCGAAGGCGGGUCUCUGGACAGUUCCUGACGCUGAGGCACGAAGGCCAGGGGAGCAAACGGG